rnacentral:rRNA from 1 species
GUCUAUGGCCAUACCACCCUGAAUACACCUGAUCUCACCUGAUUUUGGAAACUAAGCCAGGUUGGGCCUGGUUAGUACUUGGAUGGGAAACCGGAGGUGGACUGAGCCUAACUAAAGUCC